rnacentral:rRNA from 1 species
UCCAGACUCCUACGGGAGGCAGCAGUGGGGGAUAUUGCACAAUGGGGGGAACCCUGAUGCAGCGACGCCGCGUGGGUGAAGGAGCGUUUCGGCGCGUAAAGCCCUCUCGGCAGGGAAGAAGGAGGACGGUACCUGACUAAGAAGCCCCGGCUAACUACGUGCCAGCAGCCGCGGUAAUACGUAGGGGGCAAGCGUUAUCCGGAUUUACUGGGUGUAAAGGGGGCGCAGACGGCGAUGCAAGCCAGGAGUGAAAGCCCGGGGCCCAACCCCGGGACUGCUCUUGGAACUGCGUGGCUGGAGUGCAGGAGGGGCAGGCGGAAUUCCUGGUGUAGCGGUGAAAUGCGUAGAUAUCAGGAGGAACACCGGUGGCGAAGGCGGCCUGCUGGACUGCGACUGACGUUGAGGCCCGAAAGCGUGGGGAGCAAACAGGAUUAGAUACCCUAGUAUA